rnacentral:lncRNA from 1 species
UUUAAUAGAAAUAAUAUAAGGGUUAGUUUCGAAUUUGUGUUGUGGUGUUGUGGUACUUUUUUCUUGAUCGGAUUUCCUCAAUUUACAAUUUUGUUGACAAAGUUUGAACGAGGCCACAUUAAAGCACCUAGAGAUUCCAGGAUUUCUUGUUGUAUUGAUGUUGGUUCCAAAUGAAUGAAAGUUCUUUAUUGGAUAAAAAAAAAUAGAAUACAGUAGAGACAUAGAAAUAGAGAGAGCAUUUAUGCCCUCUUUC